UUGCAAAUCUUCUCAAAGAUCAUCCAAAUCAAAUUCAAUCUUGCAAAAUUCUCUCUCACUCCUUCACCCUCAUUUUCGACCACCCCUCUUUCUCCCUCAUCUCUCUCUUUUCCUCCAUUAACAACCGUAGAUGAAGACCUUCGAAGCUUCAUAGAUUCAUACCAAAAAUAAACCCACCUCUAGAUCUAACCUUAAACACCCUCUAUCUCCUAGAAUUCAAGAAAAUCCUUGGAGUUUGAUUUCAAAGUUAGAAAGAGAAAGUUUGAUUUUUGGUGUAAGCUUGGGCCCGAGCGAGACGAAGAAGUAAGUCGCCUGUUUUCCUUUCCAAGUUGAGCGAAGGACUUCAGGUGGGCAAUAUUUUGAGUAUACAUAUAUCAUACGAGCUUUCUAAACUGUUUUGAUGAUGUUAUGAGUUUAUCAAAUGUUUUGAGAUAAAUGAUGUUUGAGAACUGUUUGACUUGCCGAUUUUUGUUGAUAAUGACUUGUGUGUUACCCUCUACUGAUGAGACGAAUUCGGUCCUGCCACAAGCGGGAUUUUGUGCACAGAGGUGACUGCGAGCGGUCUUCGGGUCGGCCGGUCACGGUACUUGAGAGGGAGGCUUACUUCUCAGUACCUUUGAUGAUGAUGAGUUGUAGAUGUGGUGCAUACAUGUUGAGAUCUUUGACUGCAGUCGUUUCUUUAUGAUGUCAUGUUUAUUAAAACUGCUUACACAGGUUCAUUUACGCUAAUUUUAUUCCUGUGUAUUGCUGAGAUGUGACAAGUUUCAAACCUAUAGCUCUAAGAGCACCUUUCUUAUUUUUCGGCGUUUGUCCACUGAGUAUUAUGUACUCACGCUCUGCAUGUAUUUCUAAAUGUGCAGGCUAAGCAAGGAACGAGAUUGGUCUGGUGCUGGUGGGGGAAACGUUUCAAUCGACGUGUUUAUAUUUUUGUAUUGCCUUUUUGUUAAUAGAGUCUUGACAAUUGAGAUACUUUGCUUUCUUUUGAAAUCAAGCAAUUUACUCUUGGUUA